GAUGAACGCCGGCGGCGUGCCUAAUACAUGCAAGUCGAGCGAACAGACGAGGAGCUUGCUCCUCUGACGUUAGCGGCGGACGGGUGAGUAACACGUGGAUAACCUACCUAUAAGACUGGGAUAACUUCGGGAAACCGGAGCUAAUACCGGAUAAUAUAUUGAACCGCAUGGUUCAAUGGUGAAAGACGGUUUUGCUGUCACUUAUAGAUGGAUCCGCGCCGCAUUAGCUAGUUGGUAAGGUAACGGCUUACCAAGGCAACGAUGCGUAGCCGACCUGAGAGGGUGAUCGGCCACACUGGAACUGAGACACGGUCCAGACUCCUACGGGAGGCAGCAGUAGGGAAUCUUCCGCAAUGGGCGAAAGCCUGACGGAGCAACGCCGCGUGAGUGAUGAAGGUCUUCGGAUCGUAAAACUCUGUUAUUAGGGAAGAACAAAUGUGUAAGUAACUAUGCACGUCUUGACGGUACCUAAUCAGAAAGCCACGGCUAACUACGUG
rnacentral:rRNA from 1 species